rnacentral:rRNA from 1 species
CGUGAGCAACCUGCCCUUGACUUUGGAAUAACAGUUGGAAACAGCUGCUAAUACCGGGUAUGACGCAUCUUCGCAUGGGGGUGUGUGGAAAGCUCUGGCGGUCAAGGAUGGGCUCGCGGCCUAUCAGCUUGUUGGUGAGGUAAUGGCUCACCAAGGCUUCGACGGGUAGCCGGCCUGAGAGGGCGACCGGCCACACUGGGACUGAGAUACGGCCCAG